CUGCAGGGACACGUCUGGGAGACCUUGUCAGAGGUGAAACCACAGUCAAGAUAAAUGAUGUUCCCCAGUGUCCAUUUGGCCAUUGAGGAAGAAAUUGUGUUGUCCCAGAGUGUCCUGCCCUUGGGAAGUCCAUGGUCCCUGUCUCCAGUCAUCAUCACAUUCUUCCAUCAUUUCAGGAUGCUUCCUUUCAUAAUCUUCACUUGGCCUCUGAGGAGUCCCCUGGACCGACUGUACCACCCCACACUGAUAUUCCAGGGAAAUGUCACAUGGAGCUGUUUUUCCAGGUGCAGACCCAGGAUGUACUCCUGAAUGAUUUUCAGGUUGCUAUCUUGGGAACUGGGUGAAUAUCAGAACAAAUUCCAUGAAAACCUGGGCAAAGCACAGGGACCAUCCUUGUGAGCAGACUCCAAUGCUGGCAGUGAGAUGUGAUCAAGAGCAGAUUUUUAAAAUGAAUAAAAGUCUAAAUGAAUACAAUUUAUAAUACAGAGCUCAUCAGUUCAUAGGUACCCAUCCAUCUAAUUACAUUCCCUGCUCUAUCACAGUCCCUUAGCUUUCAAAGCCCCAGAAAUGUUUUAGACACUUUUUAUUCCUUAUAUUUGCAGUGAAAAAGUCAUGAUGGGAAUUUUUCCCGAGAAAGAAAAUGGCAAGAUGAGGCUGGAGCAGAUGGCCCUCUGCACCCACACCCACAAACCCAACCUCACUGCCCCUCUGGAGGGCUGGAGAUGGGGGUAAAGGUGGGUUAAACUCUGUUUUAUGCCCCCAGAAAAGGUGUGGGAGUGAAAAUGUACAGAUUGCUCUUGAGAAAUGAAGCCCUCAAUGCUGCUAGGAAGUCCUGGCCUUUCCAAAGGUCAGUUUCCUAGAAGUGUGUGGCUCAUUACCCAGGAGGAAUCCCCUCCUUGAAGGAGGAGGUGAGGUGCUGCCGUUCAAGACGUGGUUUCUCAGCCAAGUCAUGCACAGGGGAGCAGGAGCUAUUGGCCUUGUGUGGCUCUGUGGAGACCUCUCUGCAGAGGGGGCUUGGGGUCACUGAAAAUCAUCCUGAACAUUUUGUAAACUUCAGCAGAUGAGAUUCAGGAUAGUUUAUGCCAUUUCAAUGUGUCUGUGAGGAAAGGAGAUCAAAAAUUAACAGCUCUGUGUUCUGAGGGAUUCUUCCAUGCUGGACUGUACAGCUGCUGCAAUGUCAGCCCUGCUCCCAGCUGAGGCUGGAGCAAACCUCAUCCCCCAGCACGGAGACCAGCAUGGAAAGGAUAUCCCUGAAUGGAGAGAUGAAAUGAAAGAGAUGAAGUGAAAGGAGAGGCAGAAAGUAUAUUUACAUGGUGCUCCCAGAGGUUCAUCUGAUAGAUCACAGAAUGGAAUGUUUUGGGUUG